GGCGUCACAGGAAGUACGUCAUAGCAAGUCGCCGGCAACGUUGUCUGCGAUGUCUGCGGCCGUUGUCCAGCAUCGUUGCAAACUCUUUUAACUCUAAUGCUGGUUCACGUAGUGGUGCUGCAUGUCUUCAGGAAUGGCCGGGCAAACACCGUGUCUAACCAGCCGAUGGGAUCAACCAGCCCAAUCAAAGCAGAGGGACAGUGGGAAUAUAUCCCAUUGUGUUUCAACGGUUGACAGCGCAUCCAGUUUAAGCAGUUCACAUCCUCUCACAGAACAAAAAGAAAGCAUCACGCCUGGUGCGGAAAAGCCAGAGCCUCAGGGAGGGGUUGAAAUGGCUGCCGCCAUGGCAGCUAAAAUAAAUGCCAUGUUGAUGGCAAAAGGAAAACUUUUGACUCCCCCGCCGUUGUUGACAAAGACACCCCAAGGUGCACCCGUGCUGCCCCCCACAGAAGAGCUGGUUGUCACUGAGGUUGACAUAAAUGAUGUGCCUCUAAAUUGCAGAGACCUUCUCACGAAAGGCAAAACCCAAGAGGAGAUUCGACUGUGUAGUGGGGCGGUUGUAUCAACCAGAGGACAUUUCAUGUCUGAUGUUGAAAGGGAAAAAUCUGGCGGACAAAGACCUUUGUAUUUGCAUGUCCAGGCAAAGACACAGGAGCAGGUCAAUAAAGCUGUCGCUAGAAUCAAAGAGAUCAUCGCUGAGGAUAUGUUGAGAGCAUCUGCAGCUUCGGGAGGUCAACCAAUGCCCAUUAUUCCCCCACUGACAUUGUACCCUCAGCCUCCUCGCCCUAUCAUCCAAACAGCCAAUAGCAACUCAACACCGAGUCAAGGGCAUCGGCCAGCAGCUCCUCAUCCAGGGAACUUUGUUCACACAAAGAUUUUUGUGGGCCUGGAACAGUCUGUGCCGUCAUUCAACGUAAAUGAAAAGGUCGAAGGUCCCGGAGGAACAUACUUGGGUCACAUCCAGACAGAAACAGGAGCUCGAGUCUUCCUCAGAGGCAAAGGUUCCGGCUACAUUGAACAAGCAUCCAAACGGGAGUCUUUUGAACCGCUUUACGUAUACAUCAGCCACCCAAACGCAGCUGGACUGGAGGCAGCCAAGCGACUCGCAGAGAGUCUGUUGGAAACUGUGAGAGCCGAGCACACCCGGUUAAAGUCGUCCUACACAGCCACCGCCUCAACUCAACCAUACGCAGCUCAUGGAUUUCCACCUAAUAGCAAUUACUCUAGCCAGUCUUCCUGGUAUAACUACCCAGCCAAUGGGUAUGCUGGAGCCUAUUCAGCUUACCCAGGAGCCGGUGGUUAUUGGAGUAAUGCAAAUGGUCCCCAGAGUCAUUCUAACUUGUCGACAACCCCUCCAUCUUCUCAGGCAAUGGUUCAGUAUCCGGUGUGUCCACGGAAGCCAAAUCCAUAUCUUGCGGAGACUGAUGCCAGUAUGAAUACCCAACUCUUGAAUACUCUACGAUACCAAGGUAUUGGUGGCGGUGAUACAGUGGACGUUGUAGGAUCUUUACACGCUCAGCCGGACGCAGGAAGUUCAAAUCAGCAGCUCCAUGAAGGCACAGAGGAAAAACAGCCUGCCAGCCACUCUCAAGAGGCUCCUGCUCUUCGACAGCCCACAUUUCCUUCCCCCGUCAUCCAAGACAAAGCAGUAGAGAGGAUCCUCAUGCCUCCACCACCGCCUCCCUUUGCUGCUCUCACCUCUGGCCCGCUGAAGCGAACGAGUGACACGCCAACCGAAGAUCCAGGCAGUCCGCCCAACAGUGACGCAUCUUCGGGUACGCGCCGGUUUCUUUGCUCCAAUUCUGCGAGAUGAAGCGUACCUCUUUAUGGACCUUUUUACAUUGAAGCUGCACGUACGUCUGGUGGUAAAAGCCUUCGCUUUUCUCCAGUGGCAUUCCUAGUAUACUCUUGAAUGUCAAGGUGGCCCAAUUGAGAAAAUGGGCUAGCUGUCACCUCUACCAUUGAAUUUUGAAUGUUUGAAAAGUCAGUCAAAAAGAUGCGUGAGGUAAAUCCCUUGAAAGGGAGAUGGUCGUCAUUUUUUUUUAUUUCAACAAGUUUGUUUCAAAAUAAGCAUGAUUUUAAUUUAAACAUGGUAAACAUCAUCGAUGAGGGCCUGAAUUGGUCUUUCUGUUGCUUGGAUUAACGGCACGGCCGUGUAUGGUUACACAUGAGUAAUAUAACUGCUGAGAAGAAGAAUGCUUUAUUUUUGUUUCAGCAAGUUCAUGCUAACACUUAAGUUUAAAUGUUUGCGCCUCACUUAGAAACGUUUAGGUCACAAUAAAUAGUCUGAUCGUUUUUCAAAUUCAAAUCAUGUUCAUUUUCUGUGAUAAUUUCUUUACGGAAUUAUUAAAAUUGCAAUAGUAUUGAUUUCACAAUAUCCUUAUGUAUUUUUUUAAUAUUCUUAUUCAUAGUAGUAGUAUGAAAGCCUAAUGUGGUAAAGGAAGGAAAAACGAGGGUUGAUUUGGAAUCGGCACAAAAACAUUUUUUAGAAAGUCAACUUUUUUGUUGAAAUUUGUUGACCAGUGUAAUCAUUCGAUUUCCGCUGUUUACUCAAUUUGGCAAAAUGACAUGCAGCGUUUGUUUAAGAGUGCUUUUACCGCCCAGAAGAAUGUGCGGCGUCUUGAUGAAUUGGUCUGUUGAGAGAUUAUCUGUUCAAUGAAAUGGCAUCUCCACACCCCUGUGGAGGAAUGGAGGAGGAGUGAAGACCUGUGAGAUAUUUCUCGGUUGCUUGGAAGCCACUAACAUUGUCUUCUUCUAUAUGUCUUUUUGUCUUUCCCUUGUUUUCUCUCUCUUCACAUGUCCACGGACCUGCUUGGCAUGAAUGUCCUGACCUGGCUGAAUGGGGAUCAAACUGACUGUCUUGUUGGAGAUAUGUGCGGGAAGAAGCCCAAAGUGGUGAUGGAUGCAUCAGGGCUGGUCCCCUACGGCGGAGACUCUUCUGACGAGGAAGAGGACAGGAUGCGUAGCAGUAAGAACAGUAACUCAUGACCCCUUCGGAGAUGCACUUGAAUCUCCCCCAAAAGAAAAAUCCACUUUCACACUCUGACACACUGCUUUGAGACAAUGUGUUUCUUCAGAUUCCAUUUGAAUGGAAGACGCAUAUUUUCAGUCCUGAUAUAGGCAGGUCAUGUAAAGUAAAGAAAUUGACAGUUUUAUCCCCCAUAGCAAGUUUCGCUACUUCCGAAUUCACCUCUUUGCAGAGUUUUGUGGAAUCUAUUCUCUGCAAUUUGCUGAGCGCGCACAUAUUCACCGUUUUUGUGCUCGGGCCAAAGCCGCCAUCAUGUGGCAUCCAUUGGCAAUUAAAACAUCUGUUUUUGGAGGGAACUGUCAAUUACUCAUGAAUUUUCAAAUAGCAGAGAAAUGUGGAAGAUCUCUGCCGACUACUUCAUAAACGCAAUGCAGUGCAUUUUAUUCAAUAUGAAAUUAGUCAUUUGAUGAAGCAAAGGUCAGAGAAAUUCAAUACAAAAAACCCCCCAUAAGUACCAGGAAAGGAAAUUGCAUCCCCCGGCUACCAACUUUUAACGGUUAACUUUUGGUGGAUUUUCCUUUUUUUUUUUUUUUUUUUUAAUAUGUGUGCAUACAAGUGUUAAAAUGAACAGAAAUUUGAUUCGGCAUGGCAUUUUUAUUUUUGUUGACCACAAAUCAGCCAGCUUUAUUUGUUCUGAAUUGAAUAUGGAUAACUUAGAGAUGGACGUUAGAGUUUUUUCUUCUCUCGGAAAAAUGACGGAUGUCUGUUCCCAUGGAAUACUAUAAAUAAUAAUAAAAACGCCUACAAAGGACUUCUAUUUAA